AAGGACAACAGCUCCUGGCUGUCUCUGCCCAGUCUCCUUCCCUGUUUCCCAUAAUGCCACUUGUUAGCUGGAGUCUUGAAAAGCAGAGUGCACUCUUACAUCCCAAGCCAUGCUGUUCUCUGAAGACCUUGGGGGACCUGGCUCUGUGGGGAUCGCCAUUCAGUGGUGGCCUAACUGUGUUAUCAACACCAGGCCGGGAGCAGAGAGGAAGGAUCGCUGAGGCCUCACCAGCUGCCGGCCUUGGCUUCCCCGACGGCCGCUGCUCCCCCAGCCGUUUGGAAGGUGCCUGGACGUCCACUCGGCCUUGUGGUGUGGUGCGGCUGCCCAUUCAGCACAGAUAAGCCCUUUAGAAUCAAGGGGGAAUUUAAUUCAGUGCCUGACUGACAG
ensembl:antisense Gm13134 predicted gene 13134